CUUGCCUACGGGGGGCAGCAGUGGGGAAUAUUGGGCAAUGGGCGCAAGCCUGACCCAGCAAUGCCGCGUGAAGGAAGAAGGCCCUCGGGUUGUAAACUUCUUUUAUCAGGGACGAAGGAUGUGACGGUACCUGAUGAAUAAGCUCCGGCUAACUACGUGCCAGCGGCCGCGGUAAUACGUAGGGAGCAAGCGUUAUCCGGAUUUACUGGGUGUAAAGGGCGCGUAGGCGCGAUGGCAAGUCAGAUGUGAUAUCAAGGGACUCAACCCCUGAACUGCAUUU
rnacentral:rRNA from 1 species